rnacentral:rRNA from 1 species
CCGGAGAAUGUUAUCACGGGAGACACACGGCGGGUGCUAACGUCCGUCGUGAAGAGGGAAACAACCCAGACCGCCAGCUAAGGUCCCAAAGUCAUGGUUAAGUGGGAAACGAUGUGGGAAGGCCCAGACAGCCAGGAUGUUGGCUUAGAAGCAGCCAUCAUUUAAAGAAAGCGUAAUAGCUCACUGGUCGAGUCGGCCUGCGCGGAAGAUGUAACGGGGCUAAACCAUGCACCGAAGCUGCGGCAGCGAACGUAUCACCCAAGACAACUUUACGGAGUUAACGAUUGACGGAGCGAAGCGACGUCAAAGCGUUCAUUAAAGUCGAGUUGGCUUAGGGAUACGUUCGUUGGGUAGGGGAGCGUUCUGUAAGCCUGUGAAGGUGGCCUGUGAGGGUUGCUGGAGGUAUCAGAAGUGCGAAUGCUGACAUAAGUAACGAUAAAGCGGGUGAAAAGCCCGCUCGCCGGAAGACCAAGGGUUCCUGUCCAACGUUAAUCGGGGCAGGGUGAGUCGACCCCUAAGGCGAGGCCGAAAGGCGUAGUCGAUGGGAAACGGGUUAAUAUUCCCGUACUUGGUGUUACUGCGAAGGGGGGACGG